GACAGAGGGUGCAAACGUUGUUCGGAAUUACUGGGCGUAAAGCGCGUGUAGGCGGCUCUGCAAGUCGGGGGUGAAAUCCCAUGGCUCAACCAUGGAAGUGCACUCGAAACUGCAGGGCUAGAGUCCUGGAGAGGAAGGUGGAAUGCUUGGUGUAGAGGUGAAAUUCGUAGAUAUCAAGCGGAACACCGGUGGCGAAGGCGGCCUUCUGGACAGUGACUGACGCUGAGACGCGAAAGCGUGGGGAGCAAACGGG
rnacentral:rRNA from 1 species